AUUCCGAUAUCAUGACGGCAUUCCCAGAGGCAAGCUAUUAGUUUGCGCGGGAAUUUUUGACCCCCGCAGACGACAGUUGAACUCGGUCAGACACGGGGAGGUAUGACGGAAUAAGUGAAGAGGCUGGAGAGAGUAUAUAGAUAAAUGUUAACACCAAGCUUGUUCUCGUCAAAACAACAUAUAACAGUGAACAGGCAACAUCGGACAUUAGUGAUAAAAGAGAUUCCAGAUAUGCCACUCACUAAAAUGGAAAGACUGCAAGACAUUGUUAUGACAACAGUGAUAUUCUCACUGACAUUUAUCUUGCUCAGUUCCUCGUCUACGUUAGCUUCACCAAUAGGAAAAAGAUCUAACCAGCUUCCAAUAGAAUUAAAUUGUGAUUCCCCAGUAUCAGUGGGAGAUGGAUUAUUGAGAGACAUGAUGAUGAUGGUCGCAGACUUUGAUCACGAUGGUAAAGUUUCUGAAACUGAAAUUGCAUGGUUCUAUAGAAAUAUGGUACUAUAUACUCCCUAUGUGGCAUAUACCUUUGGAAGAUCUUUCAUUGAAAUAGCCGACUUAGAUCAUGACAAUCUUCUGGAUUCUUCAGAGUUACUUUGCAUGCUUGGGGCGAUGAGUGCUUCAAACUGGACACGGCGGUGAAACAGAUACUGCUAUGUAUAUGACUGAGUACAAAACAUCUUCACUAAAGUUAUAGCCUCCUCCGACUUAUCAAUGCUUAUGUUCUCCAAAACCUUGUAGCCCUCCUUAGAUGUUAAAUGGAUACUUUUCGGAGACAUUUUUUUUUCGGAUAAAAAUGCAUUUCUCACAAAAGAUGCCGAAACUGGUAAUUUCUGACAGUAGUAUUUGUUAAAAGCUUACUGGCAUAUUUAUGAUUAUUGAACAAUGUUCAGUUAGAACCAGAUCAACGAUCCAAAGCAUGUUGAAAAAUAAAAUAGUCUGUAGUUAUGUUUUAUAAAAAAUAUACUUGAGAGCCUUUUUUAUCUCUCAAAUUCAAGUAUGUUUUAUGUAAAUAUUAUUGAAGUUGUUAAAAGAACAGCCGCUCAAAUGCUAUUUUUGAUGCAUCUUGCUUUGAAUUCUAUCUUUAUUGGAAGCAUUGCAUUAUUUAAGACCAAGACAUCUUUUUCAUACAUUUUUAUUAAAUGUUAACGACUAGUACUUGUUACUAUGAUAGAAUAAGCACUUCUGGGAUCUUACCGUACCAAUUAUUUGAGAAAUAAAAUAUUACGCUUUCUUUGUAAAUGUGUGUAUAUAUUUGAAGAAUAAAACUGUUUUAUUUACAUAUUUGUAUGUUUACAAGGGUUCUAAAACAAAAAUGGUUGAUAAAUAAAAUGACACACUGUCUUUGGACAGGAAGAAAAUAUUGCUUUUCAGGUCAAUAAAACUUGAGCAGUUGUCACGGUGGUGACGGAAUAUAUCAAUUCAUUUGACCAACUCUCAUGAAAAAGGAUUGCCAUUAUAUAAUUGUCAUUAGGGGCUGAGUAAGCAAAUUUGUUUACCUGUUAGAACAUUGAACAAGACGAAAUUUCAACACGAAAUGAUAUUAUGUUGCAGAAUUUUAAGUAUAUAGGGGAGAUCUAAGUUCAGUGAGUAAAAUGCAGAUUCUGAUCUUAAUGGAAAAACAAGCGUUUACAUAAAACAUAUGCAAAAAUCAGACGAAAACAUGACUUAGCCAUUUACAACAUUAUUGGUACUAAGUGCAUAAAGGGAAACAGCAAGAAAUACCAAAACUCAUGUACUGGAAAGAUAUGAGAUGAAACUUUAAAUCGUUAAUCAUUUUCAAACAUUCCGAUACGUUAUCUAAUUUUCGGAAUGUAUCGAAUGAAUGAUAAAGUCAACUUCAAAGUGUUCCAGUGAUGAAGAGGGUUUAUCACUUUUUUUUUCAAAUUAUUUUAUGAAAACCAUUGUAAAUAAAUUGUAUUAUUUUCAACAAAUAAAAGACGAACCCUGAAAGUUUCAUAAUAUAAAUAAAAAUGUAACAGUUUAAUGUAAAUUGCGGCGAAUAUUGCACGAGCUUAAGAUAUAACGCUGUGUUUCAAUAGUAGACCUAGCCAAAAUAUCAAUACAGAAAAAGAUAUAAAAGUUAUAAACAAAAUUGAAUUAAUCGAAGGUAAACCCUUCAUUCAACACAAUAACGUGCUAAAUUUAGUUUUUCGUGGUACGUAUAAAGCAUGAACAUAUAAUGUUCACAUUUAUAAAUGCAAAAUAGAGUACAUAAUGGAUUUGACUUGAAAUUAAUGGUUGAAAUUUUGUAGAGAGUUAAAUGAAAAAAAUAGAGCGUACAAUGUAUUUGACCUGAAAUUAAUGGUUGAAAUUUUGCAGAGAGCUAAGAGCUGGAUAAGAUCUAUGUCACUUUUAUCUUGGGAUACCUGUCAGCAUGGGUUACCCAUUUUCAAUUUAUCUCCUAAAUAAUUUCAUUUUAGACUGUUGAUAAACUUCAGAGUUUUUUUGUUUGUUUGAUAAUUAUUGUACAUUUAUGUUUUAUGCAACACGAUAUAUUAUUAUUUUGCUUUUAGGAAAAUAUUUUGUAUAAAUUUAUGUUUACUUGCAUGCUACAAAGUGUACUCAUAAUUGUUUCCUAAUUUCCUUACAAAAGCCGCUAUCCAGGAAAAGGACACUUGUAGCUCAAGCUAUCAAAAGUUUGUACCUGAGUAAAUAUUUUUCAUUAGAUAAUUAUUCUAAAUAUAUUUUCAACUUUAGUAAGGCGAUAGGUAGCAAAGCUUUCAGACAUUAAAUUUUUGAAAUAAAAAAGUGUCCACGCAACUAGAUGUUUUAGUUCGGAAGUAUUUAACAAUUUAAAAUUAUUUUAUCAUAAAGUGCCAGAAUACUUUUGAUUUACUAUAUUGUCUUUAUUGUCUAAUAUUUAAGUGUACGUCAUAAAAAUCCACUAGGUUAAAACAUAAAAUGUUCCUAUGAUAAAUUGUAGUCUUGUGUUAAAACUUUCAUUUUGUCUUGUGACUUCAUGAUAGUUUUCAGACUACCAAAAAACUAUGUAAAAUAUCAUUUCGUCUUUACUUGCAUUAACAUUUAUUUAUAAAAUGCAUUACAUCUCACUAUGUCAUAAAUAGAUUGUUUAAGGUCAAAGCAAAUAAAUUUUGAAAGAUU
rnacentral:misc_RNA from 1 species